CGGCCCUCGGCUGACGGCUCAGUNACACGCGGAUAAUCUGCCCUUAGGUGGAGGAUAAUCUCGGGAAACUGAGAAUAAUAUUCCAUAGAUUUAGGAUGCUGGAAUGCACUUAAAUUAAAAGCUUCGGCGCCUAAGGAUGAGUCUGCGGACUAUCAGGUUGUAGUCAGGGUAACGACCUGACUAGCCUACGACGGAUACGGGUUGUGAGAGCAAUAACCCGGAGAUGAUAUCUGAGACACGAUAUCAGGCCCUACGGGGCGCAGCAGGCGCGAAAACUUCGCAAUGUGCGAAAGCACGACGAGGGAAUCCCAAGUGCUGGCUCGUUAGAGUCAGCUGUUUUUAUGUCUAAAAAGCAUAGAGAGUAAGGGCUGGGUAAGACGGGUGCCAGCCGCCGCGGUAA
rnacentral:rRNA from 1 species